rnacentral:rRNA from 1 species
GACGAACGCUGGCGGCGUGCUUAACACAUGCAAGUCGAACGGAAAGGCCCUGCUUUUGUGGGGUGCUCGAGUGGCGAACGGGUGAGUAACACGUGAGUAACCUGCCCUUGACUUUGGGAUAACUUCAGGAAACUGGGGCUAAUACCGGAUAGGAGCUCCUGCUGCAUGGUGGGGGUUGGAAAGUUUCGGCGGUUGGGGAUGGACUCGCGGCUUAUCAGCUUGUUGGUGGGGUAGUGGCUUACCAAGGCUUCGACGGGUAGCCGGCCUGAGAGGGUGACCGGCCACAUUGGGACUGAGAUACGGCCCAGACUCCUACGGGAGGCAGCAGGGGGGAAUAUUGCACAAUGGGCGGAAGCCUGAGGCAGCAACGCCGCGUGCGGGAUGACGGCCUUCGGGUGGUAAACCGCUUUCGCCUGUGACGAAGCGUGAGUGACGGUAAUGGGUAAAGAAGCACCGGCUAACUACGUG